rnacentral:rRNA from 1 species
UGAGACACGGCCCAGACUCCUACGGGAGGCAGCAGUAGGGAAUCUUCCGCAAUGGACGAAAGUCUGACGGAGCAACGCCGCGUGAGUGAUGAAGGUUUUCGGAUCGUAAAGCUCUGUUGUUAGGGAAGAACAAGUGCGAGAGUAACUGCUCGCACCUUGACGGUACCUAACCAGAAAGCCACGGCUAACUACGUGCCAGCAGCCGCGGUAAUACGUAGGUGGCAAGCGUUGUCCGGAAUUAUUGGGCGUAAAGGGCUCGCAGGCGGUUUCUUAAGUCUGAUGUGAAAGCCCCCGGCUCAACCGGGGAGGGUCAUUGGAAACUGGGAAACUUGAGUGCAGAAGAGGAGAGUGGAAUUCCACGUGUAGCGGUGAAAUGCGUAGAGAUGUGGAGGAACACCAGUGGCGAAGGCGACUCUCUGGUCUGUAACUGACGCUGAGGAGCGAAAGCGUGGGGAGCGAACAGGAUUAGAUACCCUGGUAGUCCACGCCGUAAACGAUGAGUGCUAAGUGUUAGGGGGUUUCCGCCCCUUAGUGCUGCAGCUAACGCAUUAAGCACUCCGCCUGGGGAGUACGGUCGCAAGACUGAAACUCAAAGGAAUUGACGGGGGCCCGCACAAGCGGUGGAGCAUGUGGUUUAAUUCGAAGCAACGCGAAGAACCUUACCAGGUCUUGACAUCCUCUGACAACCCUAGAGAUAGGGCUUUCCCUUCGGGGACAGAGUGACAGGUGGUGCAUGGUUGUCGUCAGCUCGUGUCGUGAGAUGUUGGGUUAAGUCCCGCAACGAGCGCAACCCUUGAUCUUAGUUGCCAGCAUUCAGUUGGGCACUCUAAGGUGACUGCCGGUGACAAACCGGAGGAAGGUGGGGAUGACGUCA